rnacentral:tRNA from 1 species
GGUUCCCUGGCCGAGUGGUUAGGCGCCGGUCUGCAAAACCGUAGACAGCAGUUCGAAUCUGCUGGUAACCUCCA